rnacentral:rRNA from 1 species
UACGUAGGUGGCAAGCGUUUGUCCGGAAUUAUUGGGCGUAAAGCGCGCGCAGGCGGUCCUUUAAGUCUGAUGUGAAAGCCCACGGCUUAACCGUGGAGGGUCAUUGGAAACUGGGGGACUUGAGUGCAGAAGAGGAGAGUGGAAUUCCACGUGUAGCGGUGAAAUGCGUAGAGAUGUGGAGGAACACCGGUGGCGAAGGCGGGUCUCUGGGCAGUACUGACGCUGAGGAGCGAAAGCGUGGGGAGCGAACAGG